AUUAAACUUUACUUGCAAUAAUGAGUAUUUUUAAAUGAGUGGUUAUGCACAGUUCCACCAAAAGGUGGAAUGGAUUUGCAGCAGUGCAUCUGACCAUGGGAGAAGCACAUGGAAAGUAGGUUUUACACCUGCUUCCAAGCACAUUGAAAAGAGAUUGUAGAGAAGGAGCCUCCAGUAAAAGAGAUUCUCCAAAGAUGGCCAUCACUUUUCACAUAAAGACAGAUCAAUUCAGAGUUUAAUCAAAUUACAAGCAAAAACCUCAAGCAAGAAUUUUUCUCUGCACACUAUCAACAUGCUUCACGAUUUCUGGACAUUUUUGAGAGCAAGAAAGAGGCUGUUGGAAAAAGACUCUGACUUUCUUUAGCAAAUCAAACCUGUGAGCACUGACAAUCACUGCAAAGCAGUUCUUUGUGGCCUUCCACUCAUUCUUGGAAAAGAAGUCUCUGACUUUUUUACAACAGCACUGGUUUUACUAUAACCCCCACACAAACAUCACAUAUAGGCAUUCAAUUAUGCUUUAGUCAACUCCUUAAUUUGGACCAGAUAAGUAAAUUCUGCUUUUGUUUCACUUUUCUUAACCAAGCCCUUGUACUGUUCAUUUUGUCAAAUUUCGUGAUGGAUGAUCUUGAAAAUCUUCCAAAUGCCAUGUGUCUACUUUUUGGGUUGAUAUAUGCGCUGAAUUUGGAGUACCCUCCACAGCUCAAGAACACCUUUGAUUUUAUUACCAAAACUACAGUCACUUAAAAACCUGCUGCUGAUGUAAGUUGAGGCUGUUUGAGAUUGUUUUAAAGGGAUAGUUGAAUCCCUUUAAUCUUCUGGUUGCACAGAAGUUUGUUUAAUUACACUUUUCAACUGUUACCUUUUAAACUUUGUUGAAAAUGUUUUUAAAUAUUAAAGAAUGUUUAAAAAAUGUUCUUAAAAGUUUUAGAGAAGUGUUGCUAAACGUUUUUUUUUUUUUUUUUUUAAUUGUAAGCACUGUUAAGAAAGUAAAGACUUUACUGUUUCUAAGUAAAGUCAACUUAUUACAUUUUACAGUGUGAAAUGUGUUAAAAGUUUUGAGAAACGUGUCUUUGUUUCGAGAACUGUAUGAAUGGUUUGGAAAAUUUGGCUAAAUUAAUCAGUUAUAGUGUGUUAGCAAUCGAGAAAAACUGUAAAAAAAAACUGUAACAACAAACAAUCAUGGCUUUAGA